UUAGGGUUUAACCGUUCCUAAGCUUAAGAGUGUCGUCGUUUCUAUUCCUCCUCUUAUUUCUUUUUUCCUCUCUAAACAUAGCCACCCUUACACUCUCGUACUCCUGCUCCCUCUGUGCUCUCCUUCUCUCACCCUGGUUCCGUGAAAUCAAACCACUCCGAUCGUUGUGCUGUCGCCAACCAGCAAAGUAAGGCUCACCACUAUCUAUUCCUUUUGGAGUCUAAGUAGAAGAGAUGGUGAGGCUCGCUGCUGAAUUAAUAUGGAAAAGCCCUCAUUUCUUCAAUUCAAUUAAAGAGCGUGAGUUAGAUCUUCGAGGUAACAAGAUAGCUGUAAUUGAAAACUUAGGUGCUACCGAGGACCAAUUUGACACCAUAGAUUUAUCUGACAAUGAGAUUGUCAAACUGGAAAACGUGCCAUAUCUUAGCCGGUUGGGUACAAUGCUCAUUAACAACAACAGGAUUACUAGAAUUAAUCCCAACAUUGGAGAGUUUUUGCCGAAAUUACACACACUAGUUCUCACAAACAACAGAAUUGUAAACUUGGUAGAAAUUGAUCCUUUAGCAUCCCUUCCAAAGCUGCAGUUCCUUAGUCUGCUAGACAACAAUAUUACAAAGAAAGCAAAUUACAGGCUUUAUGUUAUUAACAAGCUGAAAUCCCUCCGUGUUUUAGAUUUCAAGAAAGUGAAAUAUAUGGAACGGUUGGAAGCCAAAAACUUGUUUAAUUCAAAGGAAGUUGUAGAAGAAAUUCAAAGGACCCUAGCAAAAACGUUUUCACCUGGUGAAACUCCAAAUGUUUCAGAAGCAUCUGAGGAACAACAGACGCCCAAAGUGGUUGCUCCUACACCUGAGCAAAUUAUUGCUAUUAAGGCUGCCAUUGUCAAUUCUCAGACACUUGAAGAGGUUGCUAGACUUGAAAAGGCAUUGAAAUCUGGCCAGCUUCCUGAAGAUUUAAAAAGCUUGAAUGAUGCUAUAAUGUUGGAUAAUGUUGAUGAAAAACAUGAGGAUGUGAUUCGUGAUGAUAAAGUUCAGGCUGAUGGUGAAUCUAUUAAUACACAAGAACAGAAAAAUACUGAAUCUGUUUCAAUGGAACAGAACUAUUUUGAACAAAUAAGCGAUUUCUAGCAAGUCUGCGGACUCUUCCUCGUUUCAGAUUCUUGUUACCCACAACUUGUCCAACCAUAUCCCAGCACAUGACAGCGCAUACAUGGCUUAGGGUGAAGAUUUUGAGUCCUAGCACUUUAAUGUCGGUUUCUUGAGUCAGUUGGUAAUUUUCCAUGAAGUGUACAUGAUGAAUCUUCUGUAGUGAACAACGGGUAGUACCUGAUGAAUCUGCUGUACUUGAUGGAUUACCUGGGAACAGGAUGUUUCAAUUUCUCUCGUAGUGAAUUAUUGCUUUAGCCGUAUAUGUAUUAAUUUGAUUCUUUAACUUGAACGAUUACGACAUUUUUGUUCGUAGCCAUCAAUGUGUUGGUUCAAGAUAACUAUCUACCUGUAUCCAACAUAUUGUCAAACACCAGGUGAAAAUGCUCUGAUAAGAAAUCCAUUCUUUGACA